GUGUGGUGGUGAUGAAUUGUUUAGAAAUUUCUUGAUUAUUUGUUUUUCUUAUAUCUCUCUAUCUUAUUAUAUGCUCGAAGUUUAUCCGAUACUCAUGGUUGAUAUAUUGGUUAGGUGAGGUGAAGGGGGUAAUAUUCAUUCCGCGUGGGACUUGAGAUACCCAUCAAGGCCAGACUUUAGUUUGGGUUGUUACAAAAUUGGUAUUAGGGUCUAGGUUC
rnacentral:lncRNA from 1 species